rnacentral:rRNA from 1 species
GACGAACGCUGGCGGCGUGCUUAACACAUGCAAGUCGAACGAAGAGCGAUGGAAGCUUGCUUCUAUCAAUCUUAGUGGCGCACGGGUGAGUAACGCGUAAUCAACCUGCCCUUUAGAGGGGGACAACAGUUGGAAACGACUGCUAAUACCGCAUACGAUCUAAUCUCGGCAUCGAGGAUAGAUGAAAGGUGGCCUCUACAUGUAAGCUAUCACUGAAGGAGGGGAUUGCGUCUGAUUAGCUAGUUGGAGGGGUAACGGCCCACCAAGGCGAUGAUCGGUAGCCGGUCUGAGAGGAUGAACGGCCACAUUGGGACUGAGACACGGCCCAGACUCCUACGGGAGGCAGCAGUGGGGAAUCUUCCGAAAUGGACGAAAGGCUGACGGAGCAACGCCGCGUGAGUGAUGACGGCCUUCGGGUUGUAAAGCUCUGUUAAUCGGGACGAAAGGCCUUCUUGCGAAUAGUGAGAAGGAUUGACGGUACCGGAAUAGAAAGCCACGGCUAACUACGUG